rnacentral:rRNA from 1 species
GAUGAACGCUAGCUACAGGCUUAACACAUGCAAGUCGAGGGACCGGCGCACGUGUGAGUAACACGUAUCCAACCUGCCCUUUACUCGGGGAUAGCCUUUCGAAAGAAAGAUUAAUAUCCGAUAUAAGGGAUGGGGAUGCGUUCUAUUAGGUUGUUGGUGAGGUAACGGCUCACCAAGCCUUAGAUGGAUAGGGGUGCUGAGAGGAAGGACGCUCAGAUUGAAACGGAGACAAGGUCAAAACUGAAACGGGAGGCAGGAAUGAGGAAUAUUGGGAAAUGGGCGCUAGCCUGAACCAGCCAGGUAGUGUGAAGGAUGAAGACUUAUGGAGCGUAAACUACUUGGAUAUAAGAAUAUGUAAUAUAUGAAUAAGGAUCGGCUAACUCCGUGCCAGCAGGCGCGGUAAUAG